rnacentral:rRNA from 1 species
UAGGGAAUCUUCGGCAAUGGGGGGAACCCUGACCGAGCAACGCCGCGUGAGUGAAGAAGGUUUUCGGAUCGUAAAGCUCUGUUGUUAAGGAAGAACGAGUGUGAGAAUGGAAAGUUCAUGCUGUGACGGUACUUAACCAGAAAGGGACGGCUAACUACGUGCCAGCAGCCGCGGUAAUACGUAGGUCCCGAGCGUUGUCCGGAUUUAUUGGGCGUAAAGCGAGCGCAGGCGGUUAGAAAAGUCUGAAGUGAAAGGCAGUGGCUCAACCAUUGUAGGCUUUGGAAACUGUUUAACUUGAGUGCAGAAGGGGAGAGUGGAAUUCCCUGUGUAGCGGUGAAAUGCGUAGAUAUAUGGGGGAACACCGGUGGCGAAAGCGGCUCUCUGGUCUGUAACUGACGCUGAGGCUCGAAAGCGUGGGGAGCGAACAGG